AAUGAUUGACAACUGGGGCCUCAUAAAACUGAAAAGCUUCUGUCCAGCUAAGGAAACUAUCGAUCCAAUGAAGAGGACACCCAUAGAAUGGAAGAGAAUCUUUCCCAGCUGUACAUCUGAAAGAUGAAUAGUACCCAGGACAAUGGUUCUCAACUUGUGGGUCACGACCCCACAGCGGUCACAUACCAGAUAUCCUGUAUGUCAGAUAUUUACAUUAUGAUUUGUAACAGUAGUAGAAGUACAGCUAUGAAGUAGCAACAAAAUAAUUUUAUGGUUGGAUGUUACCACAACAUGAGGAACUCUAUUAAAAAAAGGGUCAUUGCAUUAGGAAGGUUGAAAACUGAUGAUCCAGAACAAAGAACUCAAAAAAUAGAGUCAAGGCAACAAAAGGCCAAGUUAAAAAUGGGCUAUGUAUCCAACAGAGAAUUCUCAAUAGAGGAAAUAAAAGUGACUAAGAAAGACUUUUAAAAAAUGUUCAUCAUCCAUAGCAAUUAGGGAAAUGCAAAUUAAAAUCUAGCCAGAAUGGAUAAAAUCAACAAAAUAGCUCACAACAACUACUGGAGACUUGGUGAAGAAAGAGAAACUCUCAUUCAUUGUUAGAAAGAAUGCAAAUUGGUGCAGCCACUCUGGAAAUCAGUAUGGAGAAUCCUCAAUAAACUAUCAACAAAAAAUUUAUUAUUUGAUCCAGCUAUAGCACUCAUUGGCAUACGCCCAGAGAACUCACCAUUCUACUCCACAGAUACUUGCUGAGCAUUAUUCAUUGAUGCCCUAUUCACAAUAGCCAGGAAACAGAAACAGCAUGAUGCUGUUCAGCAGAUGAAUGGAUAAUGAAAAUCUGAUCAAGAUGUAACCAGCACUUAUGUCUGCCUCCAUCAUGCUGUGCUCUCUGUCAUGAUGAUAAUGGACUGAACCUCUGAAACUUUCAGAUGCUGGCUACCCCUUCUGUGAGCUUCCAGGGAUUCUUGACUCUGCCUACCAUUUCUACGGGAGUAUUCAGAUAACAAAUGCCCACUAUUAUAUCCAGCUGUAUGUGGCCGUUUGGAGCACCUUCUCCCUGCCAGCAGCUAAAACCACCAUUCUCUGGUGGUCAUGAGCAGAAGCUUACGACCGACCAUGCCCUAGGAUCACAGGAGAAGUAAAGGGCGUGGGUGAGAAUUUGCCUGAAGUGGGGAAUCAGGUUUUCAGUGUGAUGAAUACAGGCUGACUCGAUCAUGUUAUUUCCUGGCAGCAGCAAGAUUCCAGGCUCCAGGAGGCUCUGGGAGCCCUUGCAGCUAAAGGAGCUUGUCUUCAUGGGAGCCCUUGCAGCUAAAGGAGCUUGUCUUCAUGGGAGCCCUUGCAGCUAAAGGAGCUUGUUGUCAUUGGACAAAUCCUGAUUUGCCAGACAAACAGGUAUCUUUUUGAAAGUUAGCCAAGAGGAAGGUUUCCAACAGUAUUUGAGUUUGGGCUACCCAACUCUACAGCUCUGAAGAGAAAUUUAUGUUCCCAAUUGAAUGGUUCAGUUGUUACAUUUUUUCCCCUUGGCUCCUAACUUACUCUUAGAUGUGUAUGCACAACCAUGCAAUACUUAUCAUUACAAAAGGGGACUGAAGGACUAGAUAUGGUGGUAUAUGCCUUGAAUAGCAGUACUCAGGGCAUGAAGACAAGAUUACCAUGAGAUGGAGGCCAAUCUAGACGACACAGAGAGUAGAAGGAAAACCUGAGGUGUAUAGCAAGACCUUGUCUCAACACUCACACUUUUAAAAAAGAAAAAACUGCGAAGUAGUGAAACUGAGUUAACAGCCUGAAAGCUGUCAGUCUAACAAAGGCAUUCUGUACCAUGUGCCCUCUGACAAAAUGCUUGUUUUAAAGUGUCCUGUCUAAAUGCACAGUAGGGCUCACGUAACCUCAGAGGGUCUAUUCCAAGGACUCCAGUGGAUGUGUGAAGCAGAGAGUGCUGGACCCUGAUUAUAAACAUUUUUCUGCAUGCCUUGAAAUGUUGCCAUAUAGUACAAGACUUGAUUGGUCCUUCUGGGUUUUGUGUCACUCAUUUGGAUCAAUACUUCUAUACAUUAUGAACAUAAUUAACUAAAGCAAUAAGCACAAAAACCAUGACACUAGGACAGGUGAUCUGAUCAUCGAAAUGGCCAAUAAGUGACAAAUGAGGGGGGUAGUAUAUGGAGUGUAGAUACAAUACAAAAAGUCAUGCUUUAUGUCAAGAGUGGGAUGCAGUGGGAUGAUAAGAUAUAUCACAUUACUCAGAAAGGCUUAUAAUAUGAGAUGAAUUAUUUGUUUCUGGACUUUUCCAUUUGAGUUUUUUUAAACACAGUUGACCUUAGGUAAUGGAAACACUGAAACCUCAGAAGGUAAAAUCAUAGGAAAAAGGCACUGCUAUGCUCUCUCUCUCUCUCUCUCUAUCUAUAUAUAUAUAUGGACUCUACACCCGGAGAAGUGGAGCUUGGAUCCCCGUUAUACUACUUAGUCAGUCAUUUCAAUGAUUUGCUAUUGAUAUCAUAAUCACCCUGUGCCUCUAUUUCUUUUCUGCAAAAUAGGAUUGUUUUAAGAGUUAAUCAGAUGUAAAUUGUUUAAGAUAAUGCCUGAUAAUGCAUUCACAAUGUAUAAAUGUUUGGGCUAAGAUGUUCCUGCCACUCCUAGACAGAGGCCCACUCCACUACAGAGAACCAGGCUCUUAUUGCUGAGUUGCCUAGAGGGGAAAACUUCUGGAUCUUUGUCAAACCCUGCCUCUCCCAUGCCUGGGUUAACAACCUGAGCAUCGAUGAGUUUCUUUGCCUUUUCCUUCUUCCACUAUUUUGUGGUUCUUGUAUCAUUGGCUAGACAUUACAUUGGACACUCAAGUCCUACCUAGAGUCCCACUGGUUUUCUGAUUAGACAUCUCACUAUUUGUUUUUCUUUCUCACAAUUUAGGAGACCGAACACAGGGCUUUGCAAAGGCUAGGCGAGUUCUCUGCCACGGAGCUACAAGUCUUCUCUUACUCUCACCAACUCUAGUUCAGAUUGUUGUCUACAGACACGAUGGCUUACCCUGCCUCUUCUCACAGAGGACAUAUGGCUCCAUGCCCUCUUUUCAGAUUCCCCUCCUCCCUCCUUCUUGUUCUGCUUUUGCUCUUUGUGAAAUGAGUUGAUAAUGUAGAAAUGAAAGAAAAAUGCUUUUCUUUUGAAAACUUCACCUCAGUUUCAUUAUUUUCUCUUGAUACUGAAUUCGCUCAAGUCCUUGACAUUUGGUGCCAGUGUCUCAGAUCAUCCAGUGAUUAGUGUUGACUCUUCUGCCUUUCAAAGUAUGAACUAAUAUUCCGUACCCAAUAGGCUCUACCACUACAUCCUAGGGAUCUAGACAAAGAAACCAACCACUUAUAUAUGAAGACUGAGCUUCUCUGUGUCAGUCUUUUGAUAAUUUAAUGUAACAAUCCUUCUUGAUUUGGGUGUUCAGAAGAGCCUAAACAAUGAUAUUUCCUAUUCUGGAGCCCUUGAGACUUUCUCUAGCGCUAAGUGCAGCUUGUCUAGGGCUUUCCCUGGUUCUCACCUUGGACAAAAAUGACAUAGUAGGGAUUCCUAGGCAAUUCAGACCGGGGGCUAGUCCAGGUUUCUGCCCUGUAUGCUCUUCUAUCAUCUGUGAGGAUGGACAUUUCAGGAUCUGAUUUUCCUCCACUAAGUGUUACUCAAAACACUGGACUCCUGAAGAAAAAGGUUUCACCAGCUGCCAGAGCAAAUAGAAUACCACCAUCCCUCAUGUGCUUUACCGCACUGGACUUCUUCCUGUGCCCAAGCACCAGUCAUGGCUUACUUAAGCGCUAAGAGUUCUGAUGGCUGCCAUGAUGCAGGCCCCAUGUUCUCCGGACUUCACACCUGCAUCAGUAGCCCUGAUACCCUUCAUACACCUGACCUGCUGCAUUCCUGUUUAGCAGCCUUGGUUCACCUGAACACUGUUACUUUGCUUUUCAUUUCAUAUUUGUCUCCUCAGAGACUAUAGAUUGGUUCUGACUGGGCACCUCAGCGUCCAGUGAGCCCAGACAAACCUUUUCAGUGAUCUCUGAACUCUCACCUUCAAACAUGCCCUUUUUGAGCACUUUUCUUCUGUCCUGAGAUACCUUUUAGGGAUCCCUGUUUGCAGGUGUAAUUGCUCCUUCAUGUUCUUAGGCAACAGUUCUCUAUUAAAUUUCCUGUUCGUGUUACUUUGUGUGACAAUUCAUUUCUUUUUGUUAACUUUGUAAUAAUUACUUGGUCAAACCAUUCUAAAUGUUCUAAGGAAGCGAUCUUUCAGACACGAUUGAUAUUUGAAUCAAGAGAAUUUGAGUUAAGCAGCAUAGCCUCCAUAGUUUGGAAGAGUUUCAUCCAGUCCAUCAAAGGCCUCAAGAAUACUAGAAUACUGACAUUCUAAAAUGAAGAAAUCAGUAUUUUCAACCUUCCUUCCUUCCUUCCUUCCUUCCUUCCUUCCUUCCUUCCUUCCUUCCUUCCUUCCUUCUUUCCUUCCUUCCUUCUUUCUUUUCUCUCUGUCUUCUGUGCCUGGGAUCAGUUCCAGAGACUUGAGCAUGCUGCCUGACCACUAAGCUACACACCAAAUUCCACUAUAUGCCAUCUCUCUGCUGUAUGAGCUCAGAUUGAUAUACUAUGAGCACAUCAGAAAUAUACACGUGAGGCUUUCUUGUGGUUUCCCAGCCAUCCUUUUUAUGAAUGUCACUAAUAGAAGAGUGGGGAAGUGUCACAGGAUCACAUCAUUCUUCUCUCUGCCUCUGCUCAAGCUUCCCAUCACUUUUCCAUUUCCUAUCUUCUAUUCCAGUCCCAACCAUCCUUCAAGGUCCCUGUUUAAAUUUCUUUCUUCCUGAAAUCUUGCCUUUGUAGCCUCCAGCAAUCUCUGUCUUCUCACAAAGCAUGCCUGUGUCUCAUAACUCAGUGCUGAAUUAUGUAGGCUCUGUGUGAAUCUUCUUCCACGAAAAAAAAAUGGCGUGGAGCUCUUAUUGUGCACAAGGAUUCUGCUAUGUACUUUGUUUUUCAUGGUGAAUUUGAAGUAGGAAAAAAUGAUGCUGAUAGUGCUAACAAUAAUUUCCUGAGUAUGAACUAUUUGCCAGCCAUUUCUACACCAUCUUGUUUAAUUCUGUGACUUGGUAAAUACUCUCCAUAUUUUAUGUAUGAGGAAAAUGAAACACAAUGCCUUGUCUGUGGGCAUGAAGUCGAAAGGAUCCCCAGUAGAGGGAAAAUUCAACUCAAGUCAGCCUGAUGUUCCCUUUUCAGGAGGUCUGAACACAACAGAAAUGUUGUGAGAAGUUUGUUGAAAUGGACCAGUUGAGGAGGCAGAAUUAAACUUUUAGUUUUAAUUAUUAAUGACUGUGGUAAAAAUAGAUAUUACAUAGAAUUUACCACUUUAAAAUUUUGAGUGAUGCUAUCGUCAUCAUUCUUCCUAGGAAAUACUCUUCAUCCCCACAAGCUGAAGCUCCAAGUCGCCGUUAUUGAGUCCCCAUUUCUCACCCCAGCUCCUGGCAGCCACCUUUGUAUUUCCUCUCUCCGUGACCUUGACCACUUGAGCAUCUUAUGGAAGGGCAGCCUGCAAUAUUUGAACUUUUGUGACUAGCUUAUUUCACUUAGCAUAAUGUCUUUAAGGUUCAUCCAUGUUACAGAAUGUGUUAGAAGUUCCUUUCUUUUAAGAAAAUGUGAUAGGCGCUAUAUAGGUGGCUUGGCAGUAAACAUCACAUAUUGUUCUUUCAGAGGACCCACGUUUGGUUCUCAGCACCCAUGUUAAGUGGCUCCCAACUGACUGAAACUAUAGCUCCAAGAGAAUCCAAUAUUCUCUUCUGGCUUUCUGAACUCAUGUACAUACAUGCUUACACAUAGACACACAUACACUUACAAAUAAUUAAAAGGAAGAUAAAUAUGUUAAAAAUGUAAUAAUAUUCUACUGAAUAUAUAUGUCACAUCUAUCUAUCUAUCUAUCUAUCUAUCUAUCUAUCUAUCUAUCUUCUAUUUAUUUUACCUAUCAGUCUGUCAAUAUAUACUUAAGUUGUUUCUACCUCUUGAUAAUUAAGAAUAAUGCUGCCUUGUACAUAUAUGUACAAGCAACUGUCCAAGCCCCUGAUUUUAUUUCUUAGGCUAUAAUCCCCAAAGUGGAAUGGCUGGGUCAUUUGGCAAUUCUAUGUUUUAUUGUUGAAGAACUGCCAUACUUUUCCCAUAGUCAUUAUAUCACAUACCAUUGCCACUAGCAGGGUACAAAGGUCCCAAUUUCUCCUUAUCCUUUCCAAUACUCAAUACUUGCUAUUUCUUAGUUUUUAAAUAAUUGCUAUUCUAAUGAGUAUGGAAUUAUCUAUUGAUCUGUUAUUUAUUUUUAUCACUCUAAUUAUUAGAGAUGAGACACCGAGUGCUUUCCCCCAUGCUUGUGGGCAAUUUGUGCAUCUUUGGAGAAAUUGCUACUAAAAUUCUUUGAUCAUUUUUUAAAAAUUAAAUUUUUAUCAAUUAAUUUUAAUAAACAUGUGCCACAUAUAAGGUAUUACUAUGAAAAUAUGUAUUUAUUGUAAAGUGGCUGCAAACAUACACACACACACACACACACACACACACACACACACACACACACAUACGCGUACACAAACACUGUGGUGAUUUGAGUAAGUAUGGCCCCCAUAGACUCUUUGAUAGUGUUUUCACUGUUUGAAUGCUUGGCCAUAGGGAGUGGCACUGUUAGGAGGUGUGGCCUUGUUGGAGUAGGUGUGGCCUCAUUGGAGGAAGUGUAUAACUGUGUGGGUGGGCUUUGAGAUCUGAUAUGGUUAAGCUAUACCCAGUAGGACACAGUUGCUUCUGAUGCCUACAUAACAAGAUGUAGAACUCUCAGCUCCUUCUCCAGUACUAUGUCUGCCUAUAUACCACUGUGAAGAUAAUGGACAAAACCUCUGAAACUGUAAGCCAGCCCCAAUUAAAUGUUUUCCUUUAUAAAAGUUGCUAUGGUCAGGGUCUUUUCACAGCAAUAGAAACCCUAACUAAGAUACACACACACACACACACACACACACACACACACACACACACACACACCACUUUCUGUGAAAAGAAUAUUUAAACUCUAUUAUCAGUGAUUUUUAUUAAUCAUCUCUUCUGAAACAUUCUCCAUUAUAACUCUAUGUUUGGGCCCUUUACAACUACCAUAUAAUUAAAUAUUCUCUUUUUUUCCUCUGAGGCCUCAAAUGAGAUUAGCAAAUUGGAAGUAUGGUUUAUUGUUCUCAAGUAAGAAAUCAUAAGAUUAGGGUACCCCCUUAUCGAAAGAUAGACACAUAUAACAAUAUAAACAAGGCAAGAGAAAAUAAUUCAUGCUAAAUUCCUAUGGGAAAUCUUAGUGCAUCUGAAAAUUAUAGUGGUCUGCUUAUUGAUUCAGUAUCUUUAGUAAAUGACAGAGAAUCCUUUCACAGAUAUCUCAGGAGAUCUUAUCUGUGACUUACAGUGAAGCCCCUGUAGGGAGGUUAGAAAAAGGAUCAGAGUACCUGUCUAUCUUUACAGUGGUUGUUUGGUCAUGGCCAAAGUCCUGGCUAGGAAUUUCUACCCAAUUCUUUUGUCUAAUCAAGAAGUCACCUAAGUGACUCAGACACUAUCAAUUAUGAAAUUUUACUAGCCCAGUGAUUAAAAAUAGUGCAGAUGGUGAAAAAUUAAUUCUUUGGCCCAGAACCUUCUUCCUGAAAUAUUUGUUCUAAUACUCCUUAAUGAUUUUGACAACAUUAUAAAGGAAUAUUAUGAGCACCACAUUAACUGUGUUCUACAAACAAAGAAACAGGCCAGUGGAGUUAAAUCAUUUGGCCAAGGAAAUGCUGCUAAUAGAUGGAAAAAUCAGGAUGUGAACCAAAAUUUACUCAACCACUGUCUCCAUGAAAUGAGAUUUCUUUUAUGAAUGCCUUGCACAGCAAAUGUCACAUUCACAUGAACCCUAGAGGCCAGAGAUGGCAUUGUCCUGACCUCUUAGCUGAGAGCACAGGUUACAUAAGCUCCUUAGGGACCCAUGGCAGAGCUGGGGCUUGUAGCUCAGUCUUGACAACCUAUCAUUACUGGCUGCCUUAAUCUCUUGUUAGACAACCUGCUUCUUCUGGGUCUUGUGGAUUCACAUGUCCAUAGGCCCAUCUGAGUAGGAUUGUGCUGCUCUCCCUACACUGGCGCUAGGGCAGUGCUAGGUCCUGAGGAAAUGCUCCGUUAGCAGUCGAUGAACUGCGAAGGAGACUAUACUCAAAGGAACCAGCAUGCAUGUUUCUUAUGAAUAAGUACCUGGCUUCUUACUGUGUUACUUGGCAAUAGUGUUUGUCACUCAUUACGGAAGUAUAUAGGUUUAAUUCUGUUAAUUUCACCUCUCCCUGAAGUUGGGUGAAGGGUACUUCUAGUAGUGCUGCCUCAUUUUAAUACUUAGGUCUCCACUAAGAUGGAAGCCUAGCCUUGUAGGGCAUUCUGCUUAGGGCAGAUUGUUGAGGAUGGGAGACUUCAGAAUUUGUGAAGACGUGGCAAGGGUGUUCCAAUCACUGUGGGUAGACCAAGGCUUUGGGAUAUGUUAGAGAUUUAGUGUGUAUUCUGUUCAACAUUUGCACAGAAGCAGAAGAAUUGACUGGUUCUAAUUUUCCCUUCAAUGAAAAGCAUGUUGAACCCCAGAACUAAGUGAUAUUUUCUUACAAAAUAUUUUUUAAUUCUAUGAGUUAUACUUUUAUCCUACUAGCAAAAAAAAAUUAAAAGAAAAAAAUCAGGAUUUCUGUGGCUGGUAUCUGGGGGAUAUAUAGUUUAGGAUGGAAAAAAAUGUGAUCUGGUGAAAAUACUAUCAAACAUAUUAGCAAUAAGAAGAGUUAUUACUUAAUUUUCUACCUAUUUUCUCUCAAGAAUUUUACUACUUUACAUAUGUGGACUUAGAUUGUCCCAAUACCUUUAGGACUCCAUAGUCACCUUUUAUCUCAAUCUGAAUUAUGUAAAUUUGGAACAGUAUUAUGUAAAUAUCAGGCAUAAUAAUUAGAAAUUAGAAAUAAGGUAAAUAAAUAUUCACAAAUUAGUUUUUAAAAAAUCAAGAAACUUACAACACGGGCUACAAGAACUUUGCUCACUCUGUAGCCUCAGAUAUUAUAACUUUAGUUAUUUUAACUGAAGUCCCUGCUAUUCUUUGUGAAAAUUAGCCUCAAUUUUUUUUUUCAGCACUAAGGAUUGUGUGCCACGCAUAAAAUGCUAUCAUCUCAUGGAACAUCAGAAGGCAUGGGUAGGGCACUCCUUCUACAAGAGGGUAAUAGAUAAAUGAUCACUUGGUGGAUGUGCACAGCGUAAAAGGAAGGGUGGCCAGGAGAAAGCUGACCAGUCAUUUACUUUUGGCAAGUGUGCUCAUUUGCUCUCCUUUCAUUGCUUCACAGCUUCAGGACAAGGUCUCUACUUCCAGCUGAGGUCACAUGAUACCUCAUGAUGUCCGAGUGAAUACAUCUGAGAGCUGUUAAUUUUAUCUUCUGAUUCUUGCUCUUGGAUUCUCUCCUUUCCUCUGUGCUUCCCUCCAUCUUUCCUAUCUUUUAAGAAACAUCAUAGACAUAUAUAUAUAUAUAUACACAGACACACGGACACAGACACAGACACAGACACAGAC